AUAUCUCCCGCCUCCUCCGCCGCAGAGCACUCACGCGGCGUUUGAAGUUUGGAGCCGGCAAGGACAGGGACAAGGCCAGGUUUGGGAUCUUCUUCUCUUGCUUCGAUCUUUAAAUUCUAGAUGUUCUGGAUCUUUAAAUCCGUGCUUGCCACCGCCAUCCACACCGGCAGAGCCUGAGGUAGCCUUCCCAAUCUUUUCGUGCUCGCCGCUCGGGAUCGCCCUCCGCCCUCAUAUCCUACCGCUCCGCCGCUCGGGAUCGCUCUCGCCUCCCUUCUCCUCCAACCCCUUGCGCGGCUCAGCUCAUGCAGGGACAUGUUAUAGCAUGCCAAUAUGUGCCC